rnacentral:rRNA from 1 species
CAGCAGCCGCGGUAAAACGGAGGGGGCUAGCGUUGCUCGGAAUUACUGGGCGUAAAGCGCACGUAGGCGGCUUGGUAAGUUAGAGGUGAAAUCUUCGAGCUUAACUCGGAAACUGCCGUUGAUACUAUCUGUCUUGAAUAACGUUGAGGUGAGCGGAAUAUGUCAUGUAGCGGUGAAAUGCUUAGAUAUGACAUAGAACACCGAUUGCGAAGGCAGCUCACUAAACGCUCAUUGACGCUGAGGCACGAAAGCGUGUGGAUCAAACAGGAUUAGAUACCCCAGUAGUCCCUGUCUCUUAUCC